AGUGAACGCUGGCGGUAGGCCUAACACAUGCAAGUCGAACGGCAGCACAGUAAGAGCUUGCUCUUACGGGUGGCGAGUGGCGGACGGGUGAGGAAUACAUCGGAAUCUACUUUUUCGUGGGGGAUAACGUAGGGAAACUUACGCUAAUACCGCAUACGACCUACGGGUGAAAGCAGGGGAUCUUCGGACCUUGCGCGAUUGAAUGAGCCGAUGUCGGAUUAGCUAGUUGGCGGGGUAAAGGCCCACCAAGGCGACGAUCCGUAGCUGGUCUGAGAGGAUGAUCAGCCACACUGGGAGUGAGACACGGUCCAGACUCCUACGGGAGGCAGCAGUGGGGAAUAUUGGACAAUGGGCGCAAGCCUGAUCCAGCCAUACCGCGUGGGUGAAGAAGGCCUUCGGGUUGGAAAGCCCUUUUGUUGGGAAAGAAAAGCAGCAGGUUAAUACCCCGCUGUUCUGACGGUACCCAAAGAAUAAGCACCGGCUAACUUCGUG
rnacentral:rRNA from 1 species